UAUAAACAUCAUUGUAUGGUGGUUUGCAGUCGGAAUAUCCUUGAUAUCCCCUUUAUAUCAUACAGCUGCUUUCUAUACGCUUUUGUUAUUAAUACUAGAAUUAAAAUGAGCCCCAGAUGAACCCCUAUGAGAAUACAGCGACGCGCCGCUGAAUGUUAGUAUUCAUGCAAUUUUGAUACAGCGUGGACUGUUACUAACAUACAACAACCCCGUCGGUGAGAGUGCAGCUCAACUCCGUGUUGCGUCGAAGCUUUUUAAAAUCAAUAAUCGGACAUUCGGCCGCCAUACCAGCAGCUUCCGCGAUCUACGUAUUUUCCACAUUUUACCGACUAAAGGAUCUUCUAGGUAUACAUCACCAGUUAAGAUGACUUACGAUCCUGAGAGUCUCACCUGCCUCUCUCGCUACAACUGGCCGGGAGUAGCAGAAGUUAACAUCCGCAACUCAGCCGAUCCGCGCUUAGUGCGUGGCCCCGCUCCUAACAGUAUCGCUGAAUAUUUUAAUAUGGCGCCCGUACGUCGAAUCUCGGAUUCCAUUUAUGUGGUCAUCCGCGGGCAGGCCGCCAACCAAGUCUGGCCUCGCCCUACCGCAGAUGAAGUUAUUCGCCGCAUCUUGCAUCUGUAAAUUCGCACUCACACAAGUGAGCCCCCUCCCUCUGUCCUAUUAGCGUCUCUUCAUCUAAACCGUGGCUUAAAUUAUAUAUGUCAUCUACUCUUCGCAAAUUUCCACAAGCUAUUUCGCGCGUCUAUCCUAUCUGGUUAGUUAUAUUUUGAGAUUUGUUUGAUUCAUUCAAUGUGUGUUAAAAGUUGUGGUUUCGCUGGCGAAGCUACGCAGGUAUGAGUAAGUUGUCUUUGUCAUGUUUGUGUUUGUGUAAUUUUGAUAAAUUUUGGUCAUACCUUCAUUAGUUUUGAUUUAUAUAAGUGAUCUUAGUGAUAAUUAAGCUAUGUUUAAGUCAGUAUAAGUAAAGGAUAUUUUCUAUUAAAAUUAAGAUUAAAUUUGUAUUUUCACAAAUUCUUCCGCUUUCUAUCCCCUAAUAAAAAAGGAAAAAAAGAUUGGUGUUUCAUUUAGCAUAACUUUAAACGGACAACAAGAUAAAAUGCACACAAUCAUUUUAGGAUAAUGUGCUUAGGUUAUCACUGUUAUUUCUUAUGCAAGCUACUUUAUUGUAUUAAAUCGUGGUAAGAUCAAAUAUUUGUAGAGAUACCUUUUAAUCUAGUAGGCACUGAGACCUUUGUAUCAAAAAAGGGUAUUGAAAAUAGAUCAAUAUUUUAUCACUAAUUAACACAUUAACAGUACUGUUUUACUCAUUUGUUCUAGUAUAGGUAAACAGGUGCCCCAUGACAAUGCCAACCAUACCUACAGUAAAUAGAUCUUUCCACUGGUUUGUGAUCUGAGGAAUCAGUGAAGUUCCUAUCAAUAAUUUUGUUGCCCAUUUUGUCAGGCAUUCAAGAUAAAUAGCUUUCUUCCUUUUAUGUACUCUAUUUAGUUUUCU